GCUCCCUAUAUUGAUAGAUCAAGGCCCCCCUGCCGUCGUUUCAGUGACUCAUAAGGCUUCCCUCAGCUCAGUUCUUGAGAAUGGUCGCCACCUCUCCCAGGACCGGAAUGAUUAUCCCUGCCCGAUGGGUCUACAUCCAUCCCUGAAUGUCUUCGGGUACUGUUCACUUCCCCGCCAUUCUUGUAACCGUCACCUGUAAUCCGCGCAGGUGUGUCCGCACCCCCCUGAGUGGACGAGAAAUAAAGGAUUUUUCGGAGACUUCGUUCCAGACCCAGGAGUCAACUUUCCCGUAUGAGCAUUCGGUACAUGUAUCAGUCCGUGGAAGAGUGAAAGGGUCACCACUACUGAGGAUCUCCCCCCUAAUCUUAGAUAGGUCGUCUGAGGGUUCGCCGCGG